GAUGAACGCUGGCGGCGUGCCUAAUACAUGCAAGUCGAGCGAAUGGAUUAAGAGCUUGCUCUUAUGAAGUUAGCGGCGGACGGGUGAGUAAUACGUGGGUAACCUGCCCAUAAGACUGGGAUAACUCCGGGAAACCGGGGCUAAUACCGGAUAACAUGUUGAACCGCAUGGUUCGAAAUGGAAAGGCGGCUUCGGCUGUCACUUAUGGAUGGACCCGCGUCGCAUUAGCUAGUUGGUGAGGUAACGGCUCACCAAGGCAACGAUGCGUAGCCGACCUGAGGGGGUGAUCGGCCACGCUGGGACUGAGACACGGCCCAGACUCCUACGGGAGGCAGCAGUAGGGAAUCUUCCGCGAUGGACGAAAGUCUGACGGAGCAGCGCCGCGUGAGUGAUGAAGGCUUUCGGGUCGUAAAACUCUGUUGUUAGGGAAGAACAAGUGCUAGUUGAAUAAGCUGGCACCUUGACGGUACCUAACCAGAAAGCCACGGCUAACUACGUGCCAGCCGCCGCGGUAA
rnacentral:rRNA from 1 species